GCCUGGGUGGCUCAGUCGGUUGAGCGUCAGACUUCAGCUCAGGUCAUGAUCUCACAGUUCGUGAGUUCGAGCCCCACGUCGGGCU
rnacentral:tRNA from 1 species